rnacentral:misc_RNA from 1 species
AACGCACAUUGCGCCCGCCAGUAUUCUGGCGGGCAUGCCUGUUCGAGCGUCAUUUCAACCCUCAAGCUCUCCCGCUUGGUGUUGGAGCACUGCGGUUCGCCGCAGGCUCUGAAAUUCAGUGGCGGGCUCGCUAUAACUCCGAGCGUAGUAAUUCACCUCGUUCUGGAAGAGUGGCGGGCACCGGCCGUAAAACCCCCUAUAUUUUACAAGGUUGACCUCGGAUCAGGUAGGAAUACCCGCUGAACUUAA